UGGGGAAUUUUGGACAAUGGGCGAAAGCCUGAUCCAGCAAUGCCGCGUGUGUGAAGAAGGCCUUCGGGUUGUAAAGCACUUUUGUCCGGAAAGAAAUCCUUGGCUCUAAUACAGUCGGGGGAUGACGGUACCGGAAGAAUAAGCACCGGCUAACUACGUGCCAGCAGCCGCGGUAAUACGUAGGGUGCAAGCGUUAAUCGGAAUUACUGGGCGUAAAGCGUGCGCAGGCGGUUUGCUAAGACCGAUGUGAAAUCCCCGGGCUCAACCUGGGAACUGCAUUGGUGACUGGCAGGCUAGAGUAUGGCAGAGGGGGGUAGAAUUCCACGUGUAGCAGUGAAAUGCGUAGAGAUGUGGAGGAAUACCGAUGGCGAAGGCAGCCCCCUGGGCCAAUACUGACGCUCAUGCACGAAAGCGUGGGGAGCAAAACAGGAUUAGAUACCCCUGGUAGUCCACGCCCUAAACGAUGUCAACUAGUUGUGGGGAUUCAUUUUCUAGUAACGUAGCUAACGCGUGAAGUUGACCGCCUGGGGAGUACGGUCGCAAGAUUAAAACUCAAAGGAAUUGACGGGGUCAUAGCUGUUUCCU
rnacentral:rRNA from 1 species